rnacentral:rRNA from 1 species
CCUACGGGUGGCAGCAGUGAGGAAUAUUGGUCAAUGGACGAGAGUCUGAACCAGCCAAGUAGCGUGAAGGAUGACUGCCCUAUGGGUUGUAAACUUCUUUUAUAUGGGAAUAAAAUGUUCCACGUGUGGGAUUUUGUAUGUACCAUAUGAAUAAGGAUCGGCUAACUCCGUGCCAGCAGCCGCGGUAAUACGGAGGAUCCGAGCGUUACCCGGUUUUAUUGGGUUAAAAGGGAGCGUAGGUGGAUUGUUAAGUCAGUUGUGAAAGUUUGCGGCUCAACCGUAAAAUUGCAGUUGAAACUGGCAGUCUUGAGUACAGUAGAGGUAGGCGGAAUUCGUGGUGUAGCGGUGAAAUGCUUAGAUAUCACGAAGAACUCCGAUUGCGAAGGCAGUUCACUGGACUGCAACUGACACUGAGGCUCGAAAGUGUGGGUAUCAAACGGGAUUAGAUACCCUAGUAGUC